GCAGGUUAUCACAGACUAACAGCAGCUUUACUGUUUCCUGUAGCAGGUUAUCACAGACUAACAGCAGCUUUACUGUUUCCUGUAGCAGGUUAUCACAGACUAACAGCAGCUUUACUGUUUCCUGUAGCAGGUUAUCACAGACUAACAGCAGCUUUACUGUUUCCUGUAGCAGGUUAUCACAGACUAACAGCAGCUUUACUGUUUCCUGUAGCAGGUUAUCA